rnacentral:lncRNA from 1 species
UUUUUGGCCCUGGCGUUCCCCUGUACUGGGGCAUAUAAAGUUUGCAAGUCCAAUGGGCCUCUCUUUGCUGUGAUGGCCGACUAGGCCAUCUUUUGAUACAUAUGCAGCUAGAGACAAGAGCUCCAGGGUACUGGUUAGUUCAUAUUGUUGUUCCACUUAUAGGUUCGUCUCUUCUUAAGGUGGGGAUCAUCCCUGCCAAGGCUUCUGGAUUGCUCUGAGAGGUUUGGAGGCCUUCCUGUGGUCACCGGUGUCCUGCUGUCCUCAUUCUGGAAUAACAGGCAAAGCUGCUCUGAGUAGUUGAGUAAAGGAGCUUGCUUUUUACCAAACCAGAUCAAUGAAAACCUGUGACUCUAGCUUUGUCGGAUUGAGAUUCAAGCAAAAUGGGUCGUUUAAUUCAACUUUGUAUCUGUAUAGGGCAUCUUAGGCUCUCUACAUCUCCCUAUGCUCAACCUAGUCUCCAAAGUAAAGAAAGUUGGAAAAUCAGCAAUAUUUAGUAGUCAAGCAUCUGUUACAACUUCUUCCUGUAUAGUAAUGCAUAUAUAUGCAAGGGAAUGAUUGAAAAUAAAUAAGACAAAUGAAUAUUUUCAUUAGAAAUGAAUUAAUAACUAGCUGUAUACCUGUGAACAUAUUUUUAGUGGUAUUGAAAGAAUUAUAAAUAUUUAAGAGUAUAGAAGGAUCAUGAGAUAUGUAAUCGUCGCAUAUGGUCUUCUACCUAUAGAGACAUACAGGUAUUUUUAAACUCAGGAAAACAAUGCAUCUGCUUCUGGAAGUACUGAAGACUAAUAGCACAAAAUUUAAACUCGGCCCAGCAUUACAAAGGAGUAGGGAGUGAUUGUGUCAGUGGGAAGGCAUUUUAUAAAGUGCGGAUAUUAUUAUUUUUGAUUAUAGUAAAAAGUAAACCUUGUUAAUUCUUGGAGAAGACACACACAUAUGUAUGUAUGUUUGUAUGUAUAUGUGUGUGCGUGUGUAUGCAAUACAAUAGGGCUAUUGAUAACUUUUCAACUUCUUACAUGAAGAGAAGGUACCUGGCUUUGUGUGCUUUUCCCAGAAAGGAAGUCAUCUCUUUCAUUGUUCAGCCUUUGGCUUAUUUUGAUUGGAGCUUCUCAGAACAUUGAUAUUGAUUCCUCUGUGUCCUGCAGUUGUUGGUUGCCCUCAUUUGCGUUAUAAGCCACAGGCUUCCUCCUUUCCCUGUUGUAAGAGCAUGGCACUCGAUUCGAGAGAAUUUAGGAACACAAUCGGAAUGACAUUCUGUCCUGGAAUCCAGGGCUGGGGUUUCCUGGAGGGCAUGGCUGGGGAAUGUCUUGUCAGCGGUGCUGACUUGCUUAUAGAACUGGACAAGAUGGCUUCUAUGCUGUGCUGUGCACCCCUGGUACUCAUGGAACAUUCAGCUUCCUUCUUUUGGUUUCUAGUAAUAACAGCAUCCUCAAAGAUGCACCAGGACCAAAUCGAAUCCCUCAUCUUCUGGUUAGCUGUACAGCAAAAAGGCUGUCCUGCCCUCAGGGUCAUACUGAAAUUUUAAAAUGUGCAAUUUCAAAUAUAGACAUGAAGAGUUCUAGAAGAUUCCAGAAGACACAGAGCAGAUUUUAUUAAGUCAGCAUUAUCCUUGUCAAUGAAAAGAGUUCACGUCUCUAAUCAGUAUUUACAACCCCCAUAAACAACGGGGACUAAUUCUGUGAAACAGCUUAUAAAUUUUUACAUACAUGUGAGAAGAAUCGCUUGAAAUCCAAAGCUGCCACUAGGAAUAAUUAGGAGUCACAGAACAGAUCUCAGUAAUGUGACAGCAGCUCCUAAAACAUCCCACAGGAUAGAGAAACACAAGCUGGCAUGACCUAUAUGUUUAAUAAUACAGAUCAUUGCCCUUGAAUGUAAGCUAAAGGGCAGGAGUAAGUGCUGGCUUCAUCAUGUUUUCAGGGGGGAAAAUCACCAAAGUUUAUUUAUGAAUUUACCACACAAAGUUCCCUCACUCUGAUUAGGAAACAACAGAGCUUUCUAAAUAACAACUCAGCAUGCAAAAAAAAAAUUAGAACAAAACGAAACAAAACAGGAAAUAGAAAAGGAAAGAAAAGAAAAGG